ACGUGACGCCCGCACUCCUGCACGCCGUGGACGCAGACGAUAUACAUUUCGGAAACUUUUGACAUUUCGUGGUUAUUUUUGGUCCUCAAAGACAGUUUUUGUCGGGUUGAAAUCUGCCGUUUACAACGGUUUUUCGCGAGCUUAUCCCGUGACACGUUUCGUUUUUCUCGUGGCCGUCUUGUGGCUGAAAUGGCAUCUCGCCUCCUGGAAAUCGUAGAUCGAAUUGGAUAAGUAAACUGUUCAGGAAUUAACACACAGAAUAACCAUUGCAAUGAAACGAUCAAGUUUAUUGGUGAUGCCCAUUGUUGCCUGAAAGCACAGUUGCGGAGGAAGCUUUGCUUAGAGGAAGGUGGUUCCCAGCCUGGAGAGCAACAAAGCCAAGAAGGGAUCACUCAACUGAAAAAUACAGUAUUUCCAGAUGAGUACCUGACUGACAAUUUACAAUAAAUACCAAAUUUGGCCCACCUGAUAUUUCAUAUAGUGAUUCAUAAUAAAACUGGGAUUGAACAAGGCCCUUUUUGUGCUUCCAUAGUUAAAAAUUUCCCAGAUGUGCUGAUCAGUGGAAGCCUAGGGUCUCCUCAUCAAAAUAUCAGGAUGAGUUGACAUAGGUUUACAUUGACAGAGAUUUUUGAGUGUCCUCAAUCUUUGGGCGACACAAUGAAGUAUUAGGUGCCUUGCUCAAGGACAACGAGAUGAGGUGGCGCAGAUUAUGUGAGAGUUGAACCCACAAUAUCCUUGUCAUUGUGAUCAUAAACAACCAGAAACUCUGGUAUGUGGACUGGAGGGAUGACUGCUUCUUAAUUUUGUCUUAAUUCACAGAGUUCGAUAUGUGUCCUUUGAAACAUAAAACUUGGCCUUGGACCUCAAUCUUGAAAUUCUUUACUUCAAAGCUGUUGGUGUUAAAUGACUCUUCUGAUUUUAUAAAGCUUAAUCUUUGUCAGAAGAACUUGAUGUGGAAAGCCAAUGUUUCUACUCACUGUUAGUUUUCGGGCCUCAAAAUUCAGGAUUUUGCCUCCAAAGCAUUUCUUGAAAAAAGUGCUGUGAAGGUAGAGGCCUCUCAACAGCAAUUUGUCCCUUGCCCAAGACAAAUUUGCCUCAGCUCAUUUUAGGCAUAGCAACCCUGCCAGAGUGAUUGCGGAGCUCCUGGCAAUGCACACCUGGAUCCGGAGCCUAAGAACUGGGGCUGUAUAAUUAGAAUAAGGCAGCCAGGCCCAUAACUUUGGGGUUACCAUUUGCCGCGAGUGCCGUGGAGAAUUUACCAUUCAGAAUCAAAAGUUAAGUGAGAACCAUUAUCUUUUUCAGCCCCUCCACCUGAUGACCCACAUUAACAGGGAAGGAGAUGAAGGCAUUCAGAUUUGGUAUGGCAUCGUCAUUCUACUGACAAGCCAUGGCCCGUUAACAAAAUUUACCAAGGACCACAGUUCUUUGCUGCGACAUUGGCUGGGUUUUGCUGACCACAAUACCAUUUGAACUGGAAAUGUUGUUGCGAGAAGAAUCCGUCUUGGGAUACAAGCCUAAUACAAGAUCAGAGGGCAUGGUUCCCACGAAGGCUGUCCAAGGGAGAUUCAGCAACCCACUUGAUCAGCAUGGUUUCAAGAUCAUUGGGCUUGGGUGUCACGGGGGCCUGGAGAAACCAUCACGUUGCAUGGAUGCUCGGAGACACUUGUCACCCCUGGAAUGCCUGCUGUGAACAAGAGCUGGGGCUGAACCAAGCUAAGAUUAUUGACAAUCCCUAUCAUGUUGCCAACGUCACCAAUGGCAGGACUGAAGAUGGAUCCAUUGGAAACUAAAGGCUUUUCCUCAGCCAACACCUCAUGAACUAGACUGGAAAAUAGCACAGGUGAUCAAGACUGAUACCGCACAAUCGUCCUCCUGGUUAACAAGCUAAGACCAAUCCAGAUGGGGAGGGUUGGCCCUCCAACACCACUACCAAUGCUCUCAGCUGGGAUCAGUGGACUGCAGCAAUAUCUUACUGAAGACAAAGAUGAGGGAAUCUACAAUGUUGAUGCAAGAUUGCCCCGUGAUGUCCAGGCGUCUUUGACUACAACGCUUUGGUUCACCAGUAGGUCCUCGGAUGGUAAAGUUUGGACACAACAUCCUGAGCAUGAAGAAUAUUCUGAAAGACAGCACAAACAAUAUUUGGACAUUCAAUUUUUCAGCUGAGAAGGACCUUUUUUCAAGUUAGGACUAAAGCCCCUGGGCCUGCUUUAGGCCUAUAACUGUAGUUUGUGCUCUGUAGUAUGUGAUUUGAAAAGAUUGGAGUAAGGAUUGUACAAUGGAACAAGUGUCACUUUGUUUGCCACAGUAACAUAAGGCAGUGCUAGUGACCCAUUUGUUUUCAGUUUACAAAGCCAUCAUGAUCAACUGCAUUGAUCCCUCAAAAGAUUGUUGGAGUGACUCCAUUAAAUGUAACAAAAAUAUCCAACACUUGGUAUUCUAGUUACUGUAGGUUAGCUACUGAAGUGACCUUUUUGUUUUCACUUUUAAAAACAUAUGCGAUUUGCCGCACUGAAGGUCCCUCCUGAGAUUGUUGGACUGGUCCAUUAAAUGUGACAAAAAUAUCCAACACCUAUUUACAAAUGAAGUGAGGGGUCAGCCUUUUGGUGUAACUCCAUAUAACUGUCUGGUGAUUUCGCUCUGGGCUUGUGACAUUCUGAUCGGUCUGAAAUAAUCAUUGUCGCCCAUCCCUCAAUUUGAGGCCUGUGUCCCGAUGGUGGCGUUGAAUGGCAAAAUCAAAGGGGCAUGACGGCGGUUAAACCUAUUGCGAAUGGGCAGCAUCACAACCAGUUCUGAGAUCUGGGGGUGGUGUAGGAUAUCUGGUUACCACGCACACAUCUCUUGAAUCUGCGGUGGGUUGGUACCCCACGCUACGUAAGGGGAGGUUCUGGGUAAGACUUGGUCCACGUGAAUAGGUUGUACCUGAAAGAUGAGAAGAUGCGAAUAGACGCCUUAGAAUAUGUCCUUCGACCAGCUAGUGCUAACCCGGUCACUGUCUCCAGGUCACCACACCUUGGUCAAUGAGCGGGCGAAGAACCCAAUGGCUCCAUCAGGAGUACAUCGUCAACUUCAGCCCGUAGUCAAACCGGUACACGUACAAAUAUCUUAGCUGAGAGUGGGGGACGUACUUGCUUCUCAUCGGGGUAAUACAGUACCACUGUAUACAAUGACCCCAUUUUAGUUGGAUUUUACUGAGGAGUGGACGAUAAUGAGAAUUUCAGGCCAGUCCGAUUGUCACCAGUUCAGAGGGCGAUUACCUGAUAGUUAUGUGGCAUUCCGUCAAACGGUGAACUCUUUCACAUCCUUUGUAAAUUAGUGUUGCUUGUUACAUGUCACAUUCAAUGGCUCAUUUGAGGAUAGUUUCUGUGAUUCUACUUUACCAUGAGCAGGCCCAUUAAAACCUAAACUGUGUAGUUUGUGCUCUGUAGUAUGUGAUCUAAAAAGUUGUAAAUCUGGUUAUUGGAGUAAAGAUUGUAGAAUGGAAUAUCCGCGGGAUGCCCUAAUCUGAGGGCCAAGAGCCAAGACGCUGUUAAAGAGCCAAUUAAGUGCUGCCAGGAAAGCCCCGAGCCAAAGAAAAAGUUAAGGCUAAUGAAACUUUGGGAAUCCUAAGCCUACAGGUACCCUACUUGAUAAAAAAUCAAUUUAUUAUGUAAUCAUUUAUGACAUUGUAAGAAAUCACCACCUUGAUAGCUAUAUGGUUCACAGUCUACCAUGCCAGGAUUUUUUAUUGUACUCUUGUUAUGCCGUCAAUACAAUAGGGCAAGUACAGUGUACAUGAGUCUGCACUUCAUACACUGUGUACAAUCGCACUUGUUUGUCAUUCCUGCCGUAUCAUGUAGCCUUGCGCACAUAGUUCAAUCAAAAUUGUUUUAAAAAGGCAUGAUAUUGCUCAAAUUUGUAAAUUCUUGAUUGAAAUCUGCCAAUUCAAGUAAUGAGAUAGCGGUACUCUGCCUAUCUGUACUAUAAAAAAACCGACGGUUAUCGCGGCUCUUGGCUCUUGGAUUAGGGUGUCCCAAUAUCCACACCUGGUAUUCUUUAGUUACUGUGUAGUGACCUUUUUGUUUUCACUUUUAAAAACCUAUUCAAUUUGCCGCACUGAAGGUCCCUCCAGAGAUUGUUGGAGCUGGGUCCAUUAAAUGUGACAAAAAUAUCCAACACCUAUUUACAAAUGAAGUGAGGGGUCAGCCUUUUGGUGUAACUCCAUAUAACUGUCUGGUGAUUUCGCUCUGGGCUUGUGACAUUCUGAUCGGUCUGAAAUAAUCAUUGUCGCCCAUCCCUCAAUUUGAGGCCUGUGUCCCGAUGGUGGCGUUGAAUGGCAAAAUCAAAGGGGCAUGACGGCGGUUAAACCUAUUGCGAAUGGGCAGCAUCACAACCAGUUCUGAGAUCUGGGGGUGGUGUAGGAUAUCUGGUUACCACGCACACAUCUCUUGAAUCUGCGGUGGGUUGGUACCCCACGCUACGUAAGGGGAGGUUCUGGGUAAGACUUGGUCCACGUGAAUAGGUUGUACCUGAAAGAUGAGAAGAUGCGAAUAGACGCCUUAGAAUAUGUCCUUCGACCAGCUAGUGCUAACCCGGUCACUGUCUCCAGGUCACCACACCUUGGUCAAUGAGCGGGCGAAGAACCCAAUGGCUCCAUCAGGAGUACAUCGUCAACUUCAGCCCGUAGUCAAACCGGUACACGUACAAAUAUCUUGGCUGAGAGUGGGGGACGUACUUGCUUCUUAUCGGGGUAAUACAGUACCACUGUAUACAAUGACCCCAUUUUAGUUGGAUUUUACUGAGGAGUGGAUGAUAAUGAGAAUUUUAGGCCAGUCCGAUUGUCACCAGUUCAGAGGGUGAUUACCUGAUAGUUGUGUGACAUUCCAUCGAACGGUGAACUCUUUCACAUCCUUUGUAAAUUAGUGUUGCUUGUUACAUGUCACAUUCAAUGGCUCAUUUGAGGAUAGUUUCUGUGAUUCUACUUUACCAUGAGCAGGCCCAUUAAAACCUAAACUGUGUAGUUUGUGCUCUGUAGUAUGUGAUCUAAAAAGUUGUAAAUCUGGUUAUUGGAGUAAAGAUUGUAGAAUGGAAUAUCCGCGGGAUGCCCUAAUCUGAGAGCCAAGAGCCAAGACGCUGUUAAAGAGCCAAUUAAGUGCUGCCAGGAAAGCCCCGAGCCAAAGAAAAAGUUAAGGCGAAUGAAACUUUGGGAAUCCUAAGCCUACAGGUACCCUACUUGAUGAAAAAUAAAUAUAUUAUGUAACCAUUUAUGACGUUGUAAGACAUCGCCAGUCUGAUUGUCACCAGUACCUGAUAGUGAUGUGGCGUUCCUGUCAAACUUUUAACUCUUUCACGUCCAUU